CUUUGGCUCUUAACAGCUAGCCCACAACCUAAAUUCAACAAACAACAUUAAUAAACCCACACUCCGAACCCGCUAAAUAGCCAAACCAUUUUACCACCCUAGUAUAGGCGAUAGAAAAG
rnacentral:rRNA from 1 species